rnacentral:misc_RNA from 1 species
UUAACUAUUAUAUAGUACUCAGACAUCACUAAACAAACGAGUUUGGGUCCUCUGGCAGGCGCAGUCAGCCGGAGCCGACGCCCCGAGGGGCGGCCUGCCAAAGCAACAAAGGUAUGUAUACACGGUUUGGAAUUACCCAUUUCAACGGGGCGUUCUUUAAUGAUCCUUCCGCAGGUUCACCUACGGAAA